rnacentral:lncRNA from 1 species
CCAUUAUUGAAUUUGAAACGGCAAAACAAUCAUAAUAGAUUGCUGCUUAUUACAUGAUAUUGGAUAUUAUAAUAGUACUGAGGAAGAAGAAAAAGAACAUUGACAUCACUUGGUUGCAUGAUUAAGGAAUGCCCAGAUUGCUCCUAGAACAACAGGGAAGAUCAGGAGCACAGGAAAGGAGGGCGGAUGAACAGGACCCAUCGCCAAAGGCAGAAAGAAGAUGAUGGCAACCACCACCAAAAACAGCAAAACUGUAGCAGUGCCUUGAUCCAUCUUCCUCAAAUGUGUUAUGUGUUGGCAACAACAAAGCACACCCUCGCACAACCACCAAACUUCUUGCAAAACAAUAUCAAUCAAUGGAAAUGGUGAUGGUGGUGGUGGUGGUGGUGAUGGUGGUCUAUGGGGUAUCGUAUGGUAUAUAUAAUGCUCAUGGUGUCUCUCUGGGUAGAGGUACAACCGUUGGGAAAGGAUCCAUGCAUGCAUGCAUGCAAUUUGCAAAUGCAAUGCAACAGAGAGAAGAAUCGGUGCCUGCGAUGGGGUGCAUCGUAUAACUUAACUUAAUCAGGCUCUCAAGUCCGAUGGUUG